rnacentral:rRNA from 1 species
AUACGGAGGAUGCAAGCGUUAUCCGGAUUUAUUGGGUUUAAAGGGUGCGUAGGCGGUUUGCUAAGCGGGAGGUGAAAUGCCGGCGCUCAACGUCGGAAGUGCCUCCCGAACUGGUGGACUGGAAUGACUCUGCCGUGGGAGGAAUGUGUAGUGUAGCGGUGAAAUGCUUAGAGAUUACACAGAACACCGAUUGCGAAGGCAUCUCACGAAGGGUUGAUUGACGCUGAGGCACGAAAGCGUGGGGAGCAAACAGGAUUAGAUACCCUGGUAGUCCACGCAGUAAACGAUGAUGGCUAACCGCUGGGCUUAUCAGUUCAGUGGCCAAGCGAAAGCGAUAAGCCAUCCACCUGGGGAGUACGACCGCAAGGUUGAAACUCAAAUUAAUUGACGGGG